GCUCGCAGCCCCUCCUCAGUACUGUCGUCGGAAGAAGAAGAAAAAAAUGAAAAGGAAAAAAGAGAAGGAGGAAGAAAGCAAAUCACAGCCAUACAGGCUGUGCUCGUCGUCUGAACUGUAUCUGCUGUUUAACGGCAGGGAAAAGACGUUAUAUGACCGUGUGUUCCUCCCUCUGCCCAGACAGCCUCAUCUGUCAGCCAUUAGUUAAUCAGGGCUGGUAAAACCGAGCGUAGAAAGCUGGCACAGCUCGUGGGACCAGAGGACAGCUUCACCUCUGAGAGCAAGAGGGGGAAGACCCAGGGACCUCUAGUCCACCACUUUCCUACCCAGACACACACCGCUCUCUCAGGUUACGCUCUCAUGGUGACCCCACCCUCUCCAUCACUGUGGACAGUACAGGUUCUGUCACCUCUGAAGAACACACAAGAAAAGGGACAUUUCCACUCUUGUUCCCAUUCCCAAUGUCACGGAUUUGAACAUAAAGAAAAAAAUCCCUGAUCAGAAAUUAUUACAGGUUCUAGCAGACACAAUAUCUCAGCAUAUCUCAGAGUGCCAAGGCUGAAUUCCAAUCACAUUGCGGAAUGCUAGCAGAGCAAGUGGAUGGUAAUACUAAGCAUAUGGUAACCGUAGUUACAUUUUGUCUUCAAAGGGGAUAUGAGAAGACCUGGAGCAAGUACAAGCUUGCAGUGCAGGGCUGUGUGAAGGUUGUCCAGAAUAUUACGCCCUGUACUUGCAAACAGACACUUAAGGUCAUGUCAGCUGCAUCAAAGAUAGUCCAAAUAUGGCUGUUUUAUCCAUUCUCAAGAUAGUCAUGGUUUAUCAUACUUCUUACAACACAAUACAGUGCAGUAUGUACCGCCAGUCUUUAAACAGCUACGUUUUAGUAUCACAUCAACAUACAUGCAUAAAAUAGACCAUAUUGCAUUGGGGUGAAAUGAUACACUCAGCUCACGAUACAAUAUGUAUCAUGAUACUGGGUGUACGAUACAAUACGUAUCACAAUAUUUUGAACAACAUUUUAAAUGAAACUGAAAUUCAAUUAACAGAUUUAUUUCCCAAACAUUAAAAUUUUCAAUAAUUUUCUUCGUUGUACAUACAAUUUAGUUAACUCAGUUCAAGCGAUUUCUGUGAAUGCACGCAUGAAGCAGGUGUAGAGUAGGUCGCACGAUGGUAGCUCAACCAAUAGGAUCAAACAGACAUCAUAUUGUAAAAUUAUUGUCAUAACUCUAUGAUAUAUAUUGUAAAAAUGUUGUAUUGCGAUAUAUUGUUCCACGAUAUAUUGUUACACCCCUAGUAUUGCAACAUUCUUAUAUAUUAUAUCGCUACAUCAUUGUCUGUGUCGUAUUUCGUAUUUGGAAAAAGAUGAAAGAAUAUGCUGAGGAUUUGAGACAGACUGGGGAAGUAAAACAUACGGCCAGAGAGCAAUCCCAGGCUGCCUUUCUGUUAAAGAUCCUGUUUUGCUGGGAGUUUCAAAGACAGAAGUCAAAACAACACAUGUUGUCAACGUGGGAACAGCUGGUAAGAGAAGCAUCGUGGGGCAGAGGAAUGUCAGAGUCAUAGAUCUUACAUCAACCAGGCCAAAACAGCCACCCUGAUCCAACACCUAGCACUAACCCUGCACCUCCAGCACAGUCAAACCCUGUCUAAUGAAGUCCAUACCAAAACCAAUCUGGCAUGCAAAAAUUGUGUAACUAAAGACGUUGCCAUUCUAAUGAUUGAAAGUGGUUAAACCUAAAUGUUAAAAAAAUGGGCAUUGGCAUUGCAAACAUUGUAGUUCACAUUCGCAGGGUAACGAAGUGACACUUGUGUGUACCAUAUCAGGACCAUGUUGACAUGGAUUUAUUGUAGUGGGUGAUGGUGACUAAAAGGGAUAAUGUAAAGUCUAAAUUGUUCCACGACUGUCUUAACAAAGUAUUUGAUAAAUUGUGCACUGUAGGAGCCGCUGACCGCAUGUGAUGGGGAAAGUUCCAGAGACUUAAACAGUGGUCUGUAGUGAGUGCCUAACUGGGCUUCUGCCAUCAACAAUGGCUCAAAUAAACAACUUGUAGAGUAGGUAUAUUAGGUUUCGCCAGCAGGGCUUUCUCUUGAAGCCAACACCUCUUACAAAAAGUAAACUGAGCAACCAUAAGUCAACAAGAAAUGGCCAAAAGUGCCCUCCCAUCUGUAAGAUGUUUAAACUGGAACCUACUUCUAUAUCCAUGUCUCACUCUACUGUUGCUCUACUGAAUUGUAAACUUGUAAAGUCAGGACAGAAUAGUAAAAUGGGAAAAGAUGGAUGCUAAAUAACAUGAAUAUGAAUUGAAGUGUCUCUGUUUACAUCAUUAUCAAUGUUAUAGCCAGUCAACAAUCUUUAAAUGAUGUCAGGUGUCCAGAUGUCAAGAUAUCCCUUGUCAUCCCCUUGUUAGGUGUAUCUCAAAUACAAGCUGACAAAAGAGUAGAGGUAUUUGAACCUUAACACCUGCUUGGUGUGUCUCAUUAACAAAUUCCUCCAAGCUAAACACAGGUUUAUGGGGGCAAUAUUGUUCUAUGUUGCAGAGCCAAAUAAUGUGUUUACCAAAGCUGCUAUCUCCUUCUCCAAAAGUGAGAAAAACUCUGCACCUGGUCUCAGCAAAUUCAGAGACUGCAUAAAUCUUUACAAAAAAGACAACAUUACUUUAUAAAAUUAAGAUAGAAAUGGAACAACCUCAAGUGUGACUACUAUUCCUUGUCUUUCGAUACAUCAAAAGUAGACCUAAUACAACCCCGAUGUCUCCACUUCGUAUUGUCUUCCCUGAAAUAUGCUCGCAAUUACAGCUCUUGAGCGAAUAUGACUCUUGCAGACGAUAAGUUUAGUUCCCCCAUAUCAUGGGAGAACUCAAAAUUCCGUGAUGUAAACGGCGGUUAAUCACGAGCAGAGACAGGGCUGAAUAUGUAACAUCGAUGAGAAGACUCAGACAUUGACAUGCAGGAAUUUCCUCACCAUCUGGGAGCCAGUGGCCCCCACAGCCUCCCAGAGAAGCAAAAGUAGAAACAGACCUGACAGGUAGCUAACGCACACCGGUACCGUAGGUAUUAACACUUUAUAUAAAGAGUGCUACAAUUACAUCCAUUGUGUCUCUAGCUGACAUCUCAUCACUAACAGCAGUGUAGAGUGUAUUUUAUAAGACAGCGGUGAAAUGGGAUAUGCUCCACUGUCUAAGGCAGAUCUGUUACUUUGAGAUGGUUACUACAACCCUCUUGGACACUUAAUCCAUCAUACUGUUACCCACUCGUACUCCAAGCACAGAGAGAAACACUUUUUCUUUGAGAAAGAUCCUGAGGUUUAUGAAAUCAAGAGCACUGCGUCAACUUGAUAGCCAUCGACAGGCCUAAAUACAAACAGGCCCUAUCACAUCUUCAGCAGUAGCCUUACGUGAGAAGAGCAUGCAUUAAAGUGCUGUCGGCAAAAGGAUUCACAUCGAUAAGCUUUAGAUACCCUGAGAUACUUUGCGAAGCUAGUUGAGGGAAAGCAGACGUUUUCUCUGGCUGUCUACUGAGGGCCCUGUUCACGAUCAUUGGAUAAACCAGGGAAAGCCCAACUUAAAUACUUCCAGAUUUCUACCCCAUGUCUCCUCUUAUUUGAUUCCACUGAAUCCAUCCCCAGCUGGAGUGCCCAUGAACAAAUAUUGGCCAAAACGGCCCUCUCCCAAAGUGUCUGUUUCGAGACCCAGGUCUUGUACUGCAUGUGGUUUAGACUUGGGCUCUAUCCGAUCCUUGCAUUUUUGUCAUAUCACUGAGGCUCCAUUGACGUUCCUUGUGAAUCAUGUCCAAAGGACUCCCAAGUAUAAUUUUCACAGGGCCUCAAAACAGAAGACUAUAUUUCAAACGAAUGCGUUUGACGUCAACCAUGCUCAUCGCAGAUGUUUAUCAAUCUGCGGCAGGAAGAUCACUGGUUUACAUGAAAGGCUCUCGUUGCUGACGUCAGAUAUUUAUGUUCCAUAUGAACUGUAUAAAUACCUUUUCCAUUGCUUGCUCAAUCAAACGCUACAUCAUUGUUUUGUUCAACCGGGAUAAAAACAAAUCAAUCAUUGUAUGUGAUUCGUGUCUUUUGUUUCUAAUGAGGCGUGGCUGAAUCUUAUAUUUCCUCUCAAAAUUGUUAUAAAUUGAAAAAAACAUCAGUGUUGGCAGAGAGAAGUAUGUUAAUGGUAGUGUUUUGCUAAAUACUCCCAAAUAACUCAAGCACAUUAGUGUGAUGACAAACAGAUUGCAAUAAUGCAGAAAAAAUAAAAUAAAUAGUGUACCUUCUUUCAAUAUAUUAUUGCUGUUCUCCACAUCUGAUUAAUACUUUGUUCACGCUGUUAAACUCUACUUCUGUCCCAACAGUUGACUCACAUUCACAUCUGUUUUGGUGCCUUUAAGACCACAUGCCAAAUUCUACAGGGCAAAGCAAUAUCCAUUACUGACCACUAAAACCCAUCAAACGCAACAUUCGGCUUGUUUAGUUAACAAACACUUAAGUCCCCAAAGUAACAUCAGCAUCCUGCUCUGGUUUUAACAUACGCCCAGACAACAGCCAUGCAAGUAAAGACUCAGGAAUCCUCCAAGGCCCAACCUUCAGUCAGCCAUGCUAGGCUUGGAUCAGGAAAUACAAGAUCAGUGAUGUCACAACCAUCUGACCCCAGGGUGAUACCAUGGGUUAGGAAUAUUUUCCUGUCAGUGGCCUCAGGCUAAAGUCAAGUAUGUCUAUGUUGUCCAUGUGGAUUUCAUUUGAACCAGCACAUGUCACUUCAACAACCCCCCUCCAAAGAAGCCCUACUGAACAGGAAAUGGUAUGUUUUUCCUAGCAAUUCCUAGUAUACAGGGUAUACAUUACCAAAAUAGUGGUGUGUUUGCCAAUUCAUCACAACCUGCAUAGUACUUCCCAAAAGUCUCCACCACUGCUUUUAAAGGAAUCACCUUUUCCUAUUGGUGUUUAAUAUAGUUGAUGAUCUAUGUGUGUACAACUGUGCUGCAACUGCGAAAAUAAUAAACAAAUUGUCUUUGUAAAAUAAAAGUUAUUAUACUCUGA